CGUUCGAUCAUUUCUGGAAUGCUGUUUCGAAAAUUUCGGACAACCCUCGAGGUUGUCCACAAAUUGGAAAUUCCGGAAGUUUCGAAAUUUUUACAUUCCAUUAAAACAUUUCCCAACCACGUUGCUGGUUCUUUCUGGUUCUUUCUGGUUACCAUUUCAGUGCCUCGAGUCUGGACUUAUUUCGCCGAAUGUUCCAUUUGAUUUUCAAGCACGAUUUCCGGAAUUUCCGUCAAAUGGAAAGCUCCCAACAAGCCUCCCAUUAUUUACAAGGCAUAUGUCACGCUGUAUAUAGCGUUCCAUUUUGCCAGUGGUGAAUGGAAAGCGCCCGACGUCGACGAAGUGAAACCACUUAAAACAUUCAUUUCUCUCGAAUCAAAAGACUUCUGCCAGAAGCAUUAUUCAACGAAUUAAACCGAAAUUCGACGUUUAGGGAAUUCUUGCUACAAUUUGCCACGCAAUAUCGGAUAAAACGCGAUGUUAUGAAUUAAAGUGGUCUCGCAUAUUUACUAUAAUAAGGGAUGAAAAAUGACAGAAAUUGUAUGAAAUAUGUAGGCAGACUAAGCCCAGCGCACACCGUCACUGGAGCUAUCAGCUGAGCUGAGCGUCACUCGUGACUGUUGGCCUAAGCAAGUUCCCCCUGACCCAGUUUUAUUUUACGUUUUAUCUUUUCGAGCGCGCACAUUUCGAGAAAAUGUUCAUUUAAAAAUGAAAAUUAAAGCCCAGCAAAUGACUUUCAGACGAGACUUAACAAAAAUAUAAAGUUUAUUGGUUAACGUUUCGUUCUAUUGUUCACGACAUCUUCAGAGCAAUUGAAGAUGUUGUGAACAAUACAACGAAACGUUAGCCAAUAAAUUUUAUAUUUUUGUUAUGUCUUGUCUGAAAGUCAUUUGCUGGGCUUUAAUUUUCGUUCCUAAAUUACGCUUUCCACUCGGUGUAUCAAUCGGUACUGUUUUGAAAUGUUCAUUCGUGACUGAAAUUAUUCAACUAUCCGAAUAUUCGUUGCCGAUGGCACGCGUGGCUGAAAUCGCUCAAAACGCCACCGCACACUAGGGGACAGCUCAGCUGAUAGCUCCAGUGUGCACUUGGCUUAGUCUGCCCACAUAUUUCAUACAAUUUCUAUCCUUUUCAUCCCUUAUUAUAGCAAAUAUCGAGACCAGUUUAGUUCAUAACAUCACGUUUUAUCCGAAAUUGCGUGGCAACUGGCAAGUUGCAGCAAAAAUUGUCUCGGUAACAUGGCGUUAGACUUUAUAGUCUUAGAAUUUAAAAUGAUGCAUGUUGAUGCCUGUUGAGCACUCCUCAUACCUAUAAGGUUUUAAAUGCUCAGCUUAUUCAGCUUGUCUCUCAAUACAGCUUAGAUAAACUAGUCGAUCCACCUCAAGCAUUCAAGCAAGAUUUAAUUAAGACAUCUCUUUUCUAUAUUUGGCCAUUAAAAACGAAAAUGCAAUACGUUUGCAUGCUUAUAUUUGCAAUAUAAUCCAUGCAAUGUUAGUACAGAUAAUCACAGAGAGAUUUAUAGUGGAAUAUUUGCAGAUAACACAUUAACUGUGCACAUAUCGAGGGAAUUAUGCUUUUACACAGCUUGCAUGAUUCCGAAUUUAAUGACCUAUAUAAACAAGAGUCGUGAACAUUCAACAGUAAGGUGUAAAGUAACACUCGUAUCUAAGAAAUUAAUUCAAUAUUUGAGCUUC